rnacentral:rRNA from 1 species
UACGUAGGGCGUAAGCGUUGUCCGGAAUUAUUGGGCGUAAAGAGCUCGUAGGCGGUCUGUCGCGUCUGCCGUGAAAACCCGAGGCUUAACCUCGGGCUGGCGGUGGAUACGGGCAGACUAGAGGUAGGUAGGGGAGAAUGGAAUUCCCGGUGUAGCGGUGAAAUGCGCAGAUAUCGGGAGGAACACCGGUGGCGAAGGCGGUUCUCUGGGCCUUACCUGACGCUGAGGAGCGAAAGCGUGGGGAGCGAACAGG